GGGUGUGAGGAGCAUCUGGGUGUCACAUCUGCCACCCCAUUGAUCGCCAGGGUUGAUUUGUCUGAUCUGGCUGGCUAGGUGGGUGUCCUCAUCCUCCCUCACCUCUCCAUGCAUGUCCCUUCAGAAGCUGCACACUCGACAAACUUCUGUGAAGUAGACAAAGACUGGUCUUCAAUCAAGGGUAUACAAGUAGCUGUGAUCCCCAGCUAGAACCUCCAAACAAGAUCUCAAGAUACAUAGUGUGUGUGUGUGUGUGUGUGUGUGUGUGUGUGUGUGUGUGUAAAAUUUAAAAAUAAAUAUUAAAAAUUGUUGCAUGAACCAUUAACGUUUUUU
rnacentral:snRNA from 1 species